rnacentral:rRNA from 1 species
UAGGGAAUCUUCCGCAAUGGACGCAAGUCUGACGGAGCAACGCCGCGUGAGUGAAGAAGGAUUUCGGUUCGUAAAACUCUGUUGUUAGAGAAGAACAGCGCAUAGAGUAACUGCUAUGCGUGUGACGGUAUCUAACCAGAAAGCCACGGCUAACUACGUGCCAGCAGCCGCGGUAAUACGUAGGUGGCAAGCGUUGUCCGGUUUUAUUGGGCGUAAAGCGAGCGCGGGCGGUCAAUUAAGUCUGGUGUGAAAGCCCCCGGCUCAACCGGGGAGGGUCGUUGGCAACUGGUUGACUUAAGUGCAGAAGAAGAGAGUGUAAUUCCAUGUGUAGCAUUGAUAUGCGUAGAUAUAUGAAGGAACACCAGUGGCGAGGGCGACUCUCUGGUCGGUAACUGACACUGAGGCUCGAAAGCGUGGGUAGCAAACAGG